UGGGGAAUAUUGGACAAUGGGCGAAAGCCUGAUCCAGCAAUGCCGCGUGAGUGAUGAAGGCCUUCGGGUUGUAAAGCUCUGUCGGGAGGGACGAAAAAGCAGCCUAACAAACUGCGUUGACGGUACCUCCAAAGGAAGCACCGGCUAACUCUGUGCCAGCAGCCGCGGUAAUACAGAGGGUGCAAGCGUUGUUCGGAAUUACUGGGCGUAAAGCGCGUGUAGGUGGCUACGUAAGUCGGAUGUGAAAGCCCUUGGCUUAACCAAGGAAGUGCAUUCGAUACUGCGCAGCUUGAGUACUGGAGGGGAUGGCGGAAUUCCCGGUGUAGAGGUGAAAUUCGUAGAUAUCGGGAGGAACACCUGUGGCGAAGGCGGCCAUCUGGACAGUCACUGACACUGAGACGCGAAAGCGUGGGUAGCAAACAG
rnacentral:rRNA from 1 species